rnacentral:lncRNA from 1 species
GUGUGUACCAGGCUAGCUGGCUAUGAGCUUCCAGAGUCUCCAGCCCACACAUCUCAACAGGGAAUGGAACUGGAUCGUGCAGGCUGAGUAUAUGAUGAAAAGCUUGUCAACUUUCAGCUGAUGAGGAAAAACACAAACUGGGAAGUCUUUAAAGGAAGGGGAAACCCAUUGCUCAUCACAGGUUGAGUUCCUGGCUGCCCCUUGAGCUGAUUGUGACAGUUAACAGCUUUUGAAUCGAGUGAUGGCUUUAUGCCUACCGUGUAGCCGAUUCUCCUCUCACUUACUUGAAACCUCUUUUUCCACACCAAGUGAAGUAUGGUGGCAGACUGGAUGCUCUCACACCGCAUAACUGGCUUUUCUGAUGCUCGAAUUA